UCCGAUUUGUCACCGGCGGUCUCCCUAGAGUGCCCAACUGAAUGUAGCAACUAGGGACAAGGGUUGCGCUCGUUGCGGGACUUAACCCAACAUCUCACGACACGAGCUGACGACAGCCAUGCAGCACCUGUGUUACGGCUCCCUUUCGGGCACACCCAGCUCUCGCUGGGCUUCCGUACAUGUCAAGGGUAGGUAAGGUUAUUCGCGUUGCAUCGAAUUAAUCCACAUCAUCCACCGCUUGUGCGGGUCCCCGUCAAUUCCUUUGAGUUUUAGUCUUGCGACCGUACUUCCCAGGCGGAGAACUUAAUGCGUUAGCUGCGGCACUGCAGGGGUCAAUACCCGCAUCACCAAGUGCCCAUCGUUUACAGCGUGGACUAC
rnacentral:misc_RNA from 1 species